rnacentral:lncRNA from 1 species
GUGGUACAUAUACACCAUGGAAUACUAUGCAGCCAUUAAAAAUGAGAUCACAUCCUUUGCAGGGACAUGAAUGGAGUUGAAAGUUGUUAUCCUCAGCAAACUCAUGUAGGAACAGAAAACUGAACACCACAUAUUCUCACUUAUAAGUGGGAGCUAAAUGAUGAGAACACAUGGACACAUGGAAUUGGGGGAACAACACACACUGAGGCCUGUCAGUCACGGGGCAGGAGGAGGGAGAGCAUAAGGAAGAAUAGAUAAUGGAUGCUGGGCUUAAUGCUUAGGUGAUGGGUUGAUCUGUGCAUCCAACCACCAUGGCACAUGUUUACCUAUAUAAAAAACCUGCACAUCCUCCACAUAUACCCCAGAACUUAAAAUAAAAGUUGAAGAAAAAAAUGGAGUAUGGAGAAAAAUGGAAAAUGGACUAUGGAAUAUGAGUAUAAAGAAUGUAGUAUGGAAAAGGGAGAAUGAAGAAUGCAGAAUGCCAUAUGUAAAAUGGACUAUGAAGAAAGGAGAAUAGAGCAUAGAGUAUGGAGAAUAAAAAACUGUAAUGGAAAGGUGUAUGAAGAACAGAAUAUGGCAAAUAGAAAAUGGAGAAUGGUGUUUGAAGAAAGGUGAAUAGGGAAUGGAACAUCGAGAAUGAACUAUGAACAAAAGAGUAUGAAAAAGGGAGUGUGCAGAAUAGAAAGUGGAGAAUGAAGAAUGGUGUGUGUAAAGUGGGGUAUGAAGAAAGCAGGAUGGAGUAUAGAGUAUAGAGUAUGGAGGAUUAAAAAUGGAGAAUGAACCAUGGUGUACGAAGAAUGAAGAAAGGAGAUUAGAAAAUAAAGAAUGAAGAACAGCAUAUGAGGAAGGAGUAUAAAGUAUAUAGUAUGGAAAAUGGAGGAUGGGGAAUGGUGCAUGGAGAAUGAAGUAUAGAGAAAGGAGUAAGGAGAAUGAAGUAUGAAGAACGGAGUGUGUUGAAAAGAGAACGAAUGAACAAUGAGUAUAGAGAAUGAGGUAUAGAGAAAGGAGAAUGAUGAACAGAAAAUGGAGAAUGAAGAAUGGUGUAUGAAAAAUGAAGUAUGAAGAAAGAAUUGAGUACAGAGUACAGAAUGUGGAGAAUAAAAAAUGGAGAAUGGAAUAUGGAGAAUAAGGUAUGAGGAGGAGAAUGAAGAAAUGAUAAUAGAGAAAGGAGUAUAGAGAAUGGGGAGUGGAGAAUGGUAUGUGGAAAAUGAAGUAUGGAGAAAAAGAAUGAAGAACGGAUUAUAGAAAAUCAAAAGUGAAGAAUGGAGAGUAAUGUACAGAGAAGUGAAUAUGAAGUAUACCAUAUGGAAAAUGGAGAAUGCUAUACAUAGAAAGGAGUAAGGAGUAUGGAACAAGAAGAAUGGAUUAUGAUGAAAAAAGAAAAGAAUGGAGUAUGGAGAAUGAGUAUGGAGAAAGGAGAAUAGAGUAUGCAGAAUGGAGUACGGAGAAAGGAUCAUGAAGAAUAGAAAAUGGAGAAUAAAGAAUGGUGUAUGUAAAAUGGCAUAUGAAGAAAGAAGAAUGGAUUAUAGAGUAUGGAGAAUAAAAAAUGAAGAAUGGACAACAGUGUAUGAAGAAUGGAGGAUGAAGAAUAGAAAAUGAGGAAUGAAGAAUGGCAUACGAAGAGGGAUAUGAAGAAAGGAGAAUGGAGAAAGGAGCACGGUGAGAGUAAAGAGUAAUGUGUGGAGAAUGGAGUAUGAAAUAUGGUUU